CCGCCCUUCACCGGGUGCCGCCGUUGGCCGAGAAGACGCUCGAACUUGAUCGNUNAGAGGAANNAAAAGUCGUAACAAGGUUUCCGUAGGUGAACCUGNGGAAGGAUCAUUAACGGUUGGCA
rnacentral:rRNA from 1 species